rnacentral:lncRNA from 1 species
UACUAUAACACUUAUUGUUGGGUUGGGGUUUUUUUUCCUUUUUCUUGUAUUUUUAAGGAAGAAAGCAAGGCCUGGAUUCAUGAGGGCUGAGGAAGGUCCGCAGCCCUGCAAGCCCAUGAGACCUGUGCGGGGCUUGGUGGGGAGUUUGGUGUCCAGCCGUGUGCAGGGGAAUUGGCCCCGAAAAGGAGCGCUGGGGCAGGCGCGGUGCUAACCCAGCCCCUCAUCCCAGCCAGGGCAGCACCCGCUUGGGCACAAUUCAUUUAAUUGCAGAAGCCCCGUUUCAGGCCGGAGCUGCCUGUUGCCGCUGCACACACCACGGGAGGCGAUCCCUGACGAAACGGGCGACGCGAGGGCGGAGAAGGGGGACGCGUCGGGUCUCUCUAGCUCCAGGCUGCCCUGAAGUGGCCCCGAAACACAUCAGAGUUCUUCUCUUCCAGGUCCCCUGGUACUGCUGGGUGAUGCAGCUAUAUGCAGCGUAGUUAUUUUUGAACCCUCGGCAGAUAUUUACAAGCUUCUGUGAAUAGCAAAGUUCUUGGUGCUCCAUAUGGGAAAUCUAAAUGUGUGAGGACUCAGACCGGGAACA